rnacentral:rRNA from 1 species
CAGUCGCCGCGGUAAUACGAAGGGUGCAAGCGUUACUCGGAAUUACUGGGCGUAAAGCGUGCGUAGGUGGUGGUUUAAGUCCGUUGUGAAAGCCCUGGGCUCAACCUGGGAAUUGCAGUGGAUACUGGGUCACUAGAGUGUGGUAGAGGAUAGUGGAAUUUCCGGUGUAGCAGUGAAAUGCGUAGAGAUCGGAAGGAACAUCUGUGGCGAAGGCGACUAUCUGGGCCAACACUGACACUGAGGCACGAAAGCGUGGGGAGCAAACAGGAUUAGAUACCCGUGUAGUCCAUGUCUCUUAUAC